UUUUUCUCCAACCGGGGAAGGAUGAGAAGCUUCGACCAAGGUUCGAUUCGAGCGCAGCGAGAAAGCGUUGCCGCAGGCAACGACCCGAAGGGCGAGGAGCAUAGCGACGAGUAAUCCUUCCCCCGCCACCA
rnacentral:sRNA from 1 species